GGAGUAUAGCUCAGCUGGGAGAGCAUCUGCCUUACAAGCAGAGGGUCACAGGUUCGAGUCCUGUUACUCCC
rnacentral:tRNA from 1 species